rnacentral:rRNA from 1 species
UGAGGAAUAUUGGGCAAUGCCCGCAAGGGUGACCCAGCAACGCCGCGUGGAGGAUGAAUGUCGUAAGAUUGUAAACACCUGUUAGAGGGGAAGAAUAGUACCGGUUGGACCGGUAUAUGACUGUACCCUCAGAGAAAGCCCAGGCUAACUACGUGCCAGCAGCCGCGGUAAUACGUAGGGGGCAAGCGUUGUCCGGAUUUACUGGGUGUAAAGGGCGCGCAGGCGGGAUAAAAAGUCAGUGGUGAAAUCCUACAGCUUAACUGUAGAACUGCCUUUUAUACUUUUAUUCUUGAGUGCGGGAGAGAGAGACGGAAUUCCAGGUGUAGUGGUGAAAUACGUAGAUAUCUGGAAGAACACCAGUUGCGAAGGCGGUCUCUUGGUCCGACACUGACGCUGAGGCGCGAAAGCGUGGGGAGCAAACA